AUCGCUUCUUGGCCUUUUGGCUAAGAUCAAGUGUAGUAUCUGUUCUUAUCAGUUUAAAUCUCAAUUCUGGUAAGAGUUUAGGAAAGGCAUGGUGCAAAGUGAGUAUGUUAUAGUUUGAUAUGUCCCUCAAAAGUUCAUAUAUGGGAAAUUUAGUCCCCAAAUUCAUUUGUUACUGGUAUUUGAGAAUGGGACCUUAA
ensembl:snRNA U2 U2 spliceosomal RNA